UACGUAGGGUGCGAGCGUUGUCCGGAAUUAUUGGGCGUAAAGGGCUCGUAGGCGGUUUGUCACGUCAGGAGUGAAAACUCGGGGCUCAACCCCGAGCCUGCUUCUGAUACGGGCAGACUGGAGGUAUGCAGGGGAGAACGGAAUUCCUGGUGUAGCGGUGAAAUGCGCAGAUAUCAGGAGGAACACCGGUGGCGAAGGCGGCCUGCUGGGCAGUUGCUGACACUGAGGCGCGACAGCGUGGGGAGCAAACAGG
rnacentral:rRNA from 1 species